AAAUUGAAGAGUUUGAUCAUGGCUCAGAUUGAACGCUGGCGGCAGGCCUAACACAUGCAAGUCGAACGGUAACAGGAAGCAGCUUGCUGCUUUGCUGACGAGUGGCGGACGGGUGAGUAAUGUCUGGGAAACUGCCUGAUGGAGGGGGAUAACUACUGGAAACGGUAGCUAAUACCGCAUAACGUCGCAAGACCAAAGAGGGGGACCUUCGGGCCUCUUGCCAUCGGAUGUGCCCAGAUGGGAUUAGCUAGUAGGUGGGGUAACGGCUCACCUAGGCGACGAUCCCUAGCUGGUCUGAGAGGAUGACCAGCCACACUGGAACUGAGACACGGUCCAGACUCCUACGGGAGGCAGCAGUGGGGAAUAUUGCACAAUGGGCGCAAGCCUGAUGCAGCCAUGCCGCGUGUAUGAAGAAGGCCUUCGGGUUGUAAAGUACUUUCAGCGGGGAGGAAGGGAGUAAAGUUAAUACCUUUGCUCAUUGACGUUACCCGCAGAAGAAGCACCGGCUAACUCCGUGCCAGCAGCCGCGGUAAUACGGAGGGUGCAAGCGUUAAUCGGAAUUACUGGGCGUAAAGCGCACGCAGGCGGUUUGUUAAGUCAGAUGUGAAAUCCCCGGGCUCAACCUGGGAACUGCAUCUGAUACUGGCAAGCUUGAGUCUCGUAGAGGGGGGUAGAAUUCCAGGUGUAGCGGUGAAAUGCGUAGAGAUCUGGAGGAAUACCGGUGGCGAAGGCGGCCCCCUGGACGAAGACUGACGCUCAGGUGCGAAAGCGUGGGGAGCAAACAGGAUUAGAUACCCUGGUAGUCCACGCCGUAAACGAUGUCGACUUGGAGGUUGUGCCCUUGAGGCGUGGCUUCCGGAGCUAACGCGUUAAGUCGACCGCCUGGGGAGUACGGCCGCAAGGUUAAAACUCAAAUGAAUUGACGGGGGCCCGCACAAGCGGUGGAGCAUGUGGUUUAAUUCGAUGCAACGCGAAGAACCUUACCUGGUCUUGACAUCCACGGAAGUUUUCAGAGAUGAGAAUGUGCCUUCGGGAACCGUGAGACAGGUGCUGCAUGGCUGUCGUCAGCUCGUGUUGUGAAAUGUUGGGUUAAGUCCCGCAACGAGCGCAACCCUUAUCCUUUGUUGCCAGCGGUCCGGCCGGGAACUCAAAGGAGACUGCCAGUGAUAAACUGGAGGAAGGUGGGGAUGACGUCAAGUCAUCAUGGCCCUUACGACCAGGGCUACACACGUGCUACAAUGGCGCAUACAAAGAGAAGCGACCUCGCGAGAGCAAGCGGACCUCAUAAAGUGCGUCGUAGUCCGGAUUGGAGUCUGCAACUCGAUUCCAUGAAGUCGGAAUCGCUAGUAAUCGUGGAUCAGAAUGCCACGGUGAAUACGUUCCCGGGCCUUGUACACACCGCCCGUCACACCAUGGGAGUGGGUUGCAAAAGAAGUAGGUAGCUUAACCUUCGGGAGGGCGCUUACCACUUUGUGAUUCAUGACUGGGGUGAAGUCGUAACAAGGUAACCGUAGGGGAACCUGCGGUUGGAUCACCUCCUUA
rnacentral:rRNA from 1 species